GGGAAUGAAAGAGAACCUGAAACCGUAUGCCUACAAGCAGUCGGAGCACGAUAAGGGUGUGACGGCGUGCCUAUUGAAGAAUGAACCGGCGAGUUAGUAUAUGCGGCGAGGUUAAGCGGAAGACGCGGAGCCGAAGCGAAAGCGAGUCUGAAGAGGGCGAGAAGUCGGAUAUAGUAGACCCGAAACCACAGUGAUCUAUCCAUGCCCAGGUUGAAGCACAGGUAACAAUGUGUGGAGGACCGAACCAGUGAGCGUUGAAAAGCUUUUGGAUGAGGUGUGGAUAGGGGUGAAAUGCCAAUCGAACGUGGAGAUAGCUGGUUCUCCCCGAAAUAGCUUUAGGGCUAGCCUCAUGGAGAGAGUAGUGGCGGUAGAGCACUGAACAGGGAAGGGGCCGAGCGGUUACCGAACCUAAUCAAACUACGAAUGGCAGUACUUAUACAUGGGAGUCAGACUGCGAGUGAUAAGACCCGCAGUCAAGAGGGAAACAGCCCGGACCACCCGCUAAGGUCCCCAAUGCCGUGCUAAGUGGAAAAGGAGGUGACGUUUCGAAAACAACCGGGAUGUUGGCUCAGAAGCAGCCAUCAUUAAAAGAGUGCGUAAUAGCUCACCGGUCGAGAGACGUCGCGCCGAAGAUGACCGGGGCUCAAGCACGGAACCGAAGCGAUGGCAUGUAUGGGAACCAUACAUGGGUAGGGGAGCGUUCCUAUGGGGGAGAAGCCUGACCGGAAGGACAGGUGGACCGAUAGGAAGUGAGAAUGCCGGUAUGAGUAGCGAAAAGAAAGGUGAGAAUCCUUUCCACCGAAAGCCGAAGGGUUCCCGGGCAACGAUCGUCGACCCGGGGUAAGUCGGGACCUAAUCCGAGGCGAAGACGCAUAGGAGAUGGAGAGCAGGUUGAAAUUCCUGCACCGGCGCAGACCGAUAGAGCGAGGGAGUGACACAAGAAGGAACGUUCGCAUGCGAAUGGAAGAGCAUGUCCAAGCAGGUAGGGAGUGUGGCAGGCAAAUCCGGCACACAAAAAGCCCGAGAUGUGAUGGGGAGGCUGUAGAGAUACAGGCGAAGGAACGGGGACUCGAUUGUCAAGAAAAGCUUCUAGCGAGGGCUGCGGCGCCCGUACCAAAACCGACACAGGUAGGCGGGAAGAGAAUUCUAAGGUGCGCGGGAAAACCCUCGUUAAGGAACUCGGCAAAAUGUAUCCGUAACUUCGGGAAAAGGAUAACCCCGAGUAGGUGAGGACCGGAAGCGGUAGGAGCUGAAAGGGGUGGCACAAGAGAGGCCCAAGCGACUGUUUAGCACAAACACAGGCGUCUGCAAAAGCGAAAGCUGACGUAUAGAUGCUGACACCUGCCCGGUGCCGGAAGGUUAAGAGGACGUGUAAGCUGAAAGGCGAAGCAGAGAAUUGAAGCCCCGGUAAACGGCGGCCGUAACUAUAACGGUCCUAAGGUAGCGAAAUUCCUUGUCGGGUAAGUUCCGACCCGCACGAAAGGUGUAACGAUUUGGGCACUGUCUCAACGAGGGACCCGGUGAAAUUGAAGUACCUGUGAAGAUGCAGGUUACCCGCGACUGGACAGAAAGACCCCAUGGAGCUUUACUGUAACCUGAGAUGGAGUUUCGGUAGAAGACGUACAGGAUAGUUGGGAGACGUAGAGGCGUGAACGCCAGUUUGCGCGGAGUCGGCGGUGGGAUACCAACCUUGUUUUAUUGAAAUUCUAACCGAGAGCCGUAAUCGAGGCUUCGGACAGUCUCAGGCGGGCAGUUUGACUGGGGCGGUCGCCUCCGAAAGAGCAACGGAGGCGCCCAAAGGUUCCCUCAGCGCGGACGGAAACCGCGCGCAGAGUGCAAAGGCAGAAGGGAGCUUGACUGCGAGACGGACAGG
rnacentral:rRNA from 1 species